CCUACGGGAGGCAGCAGUAAGGAAUCUUCCACAAUGGACGAAAGUCUGAUGGAGCAACACCGCGUGCAGGAUGACGGCCUUCGGGUUGUAAACUGCUUUUAUAUGGGAAGAUUAUGACGGUACCAUAUGAAUAAGGACCGGCUAACUACGUGCCAGCAGCCGCGGUAAUACGUAGGGUCCAAGCGUUAUCCGGAAUCACUGGGCGUAAAGCGUGCGUAGGUGGCGUGUUAAGUGUGAUGUUAAAUCGUGGGGCUCAACCCUGUCGGUGCAUCACAUACUGGCAUGCUAGAGGACGGCAGAGGCAAGUGGAAUUUGUAGUGUAGCAGUGAAAUGCGUAGAUAUUACAAGGAACACCAAUGGCGAAGGCAGCUUGCUGGGCCAAUCCUGACACUGAGGUACGAAAGCGUGGGGAGCGAACAGGAUUAGAUACCCUGGUAGUCCACGCCGUAAACGAUGCAUACUAGACGUAUGGGGUAUCGACCCCCUGUGCGUCGAAGCUAACGCGAUAAGUANGCCGCUGGAAGUACGGCCGCGAGCUAAACGCAAGAUGAGCGNGAGAGNGCGACGACGACGACGAGGGAGGAGG
rnacentral:rRNA from 1 species